UGACCUGUGGUGAGGCCUGUGUGGUGAGU
rnacentral:piRNA from 1 species